AUUACAGGUGGCCUAAAAAACAACAACAUAGUUAUGCCAACAUAAAAUUUUGUAGUAAAAAAAUAAAUAAAAAAACGGAAAUCCAGCACAAUUCUUUUCUUGUUUUGUUUCAUUGAGACAUGAAUGACAAAGAGUGGCCAUAAUGCUUUCGUCACUCCUGUAACAAGCUUUCAAAAUAUUCAUGCCAAUCAUACAAAUGGAUCAUUUCAACUAUAGAAAAUAAAAGCAGAUAAAUAUGAAUAAACACAUCAAUGAAACAAUACUAUAACAAAGAGUAUUACAAUAAGACUUCUCCAUAAUAAACCUUUAAGUUAACAAACAUUUUACAUAUGUUAAUGGGGGAAAAAAAGCACAUGUUUAAUAAUUAAAAUAAGAAAAUUAAAAUAGGUUAUUAAUAAGAGCAGUCCAGAAAACAAAAGGCAGUUGACAAAGUUCAACUAGAAUGAGUCAGUAUUUGCUGCACAAACAUACAAGGAGUCAGAGCUUCCACUCAGUCCAGUGAUGCUGAAAGAAAGUUGAAGAGCAAAGAAAGCCUACUUUUAUUUGCAUGGCUAUGGGGGCUCCAGAAUAUCUUCAAGCAUUCUUUUUUUGUUAAGCUUAACUUACGUAAACAGCAUGUUUCUCUCUUAAAACUUCAAGGUGGAGGUUAACAUUGCGCUAAGAUAGUACCUCUACACUAUAUGACUAAGGACAGGCACACAUUUGCCCUGGAUUCUGCUGGGUAUCAAACCCAAGCCUUGUGGCUCAGCAGCAAAGCACUCAUCCCCUCAGCUACCUUGAUAUGAAAACCUAUGCACAUUUUAAUGACCUUAUUAUAAUACAAAUUGCGGUGGUGUGAUGGCUGAGUGAUAAAUCACUCGGCUUCAGAACCAAGCAGUCUCAGGUUUGAAUCCUGAUUAAUACUGGGAUUUUGAAUAAUGGAGAUUUUUAGGAAGUCCCAAAGUCCACUUAACUUUAAUGCGUACCUGACAUAGUUGGGGAAAGUAAACACGGUUAUUGUCUAGUUAAUUAUCAGCCAGAGAAACAGAUGAUUUUUAAAUCCUCUAACCUAUAGUUCACCAGGUCACAAAAAAAGGCUACUUUUAUGACU